rnacentral:rRNA from 1 species
GAUGAACGCUGGCGGCGUGCCUAAUACAUGCAAGUCGAGCGAACAGACGAGGAGCUUGCUCCUCUGACGUUAGCGGCGGACGGGUGAGUAACACGUGGAUAACCUACCUAUCAGACUGGGAUAACUUCGGGAAACCGGAGCUAAUACCGGAUAAUAUAUUGAACCGCAUGGUUCAAUAGUGAAAGACGGUUUUGCUGUCACUUAUAGAUGGAUCCGCGCCGCAUUAGCUAGUUGGUAAGGUAACGGCUUACCAAGGCAACGAUGCGUAGCCGACCUGAGAGGGUGAUCGGCCACACUGGAACGGAGACACGGUCCAGACUCCUACGGGAGGCAGCAGUAGGGAAUCUGCCGCAAUGGGCGAAAGCCUGACGGAGCAACGCCGCGUGAGUGAUGAAGGUCUUCGGAUCGUAAAACUCUGUUAUUAGGGAAGAACAAAUGUGUAAGUAACUAUGCACGUCUUGACGGUACCUAAUCAGAAAGCCACGGCUAACUACGUG